rnacentral:rRNA from 1 species
CAGUAGCCGCGGGAAUACGUAGGGUGCAAGCGUUAAUCGGAAUUACUGGGCGUAAAGCGUGCGCAGGCGGUUAUAUAAGACAGAUGUGAAAUCCCCGGGCUCAACCUGGGAACUGCAUUUGUGACUGUAUAGCUAGAGUACGGCAGAGGGGGAUGGAAUUCCGCGUGUAGCAGUGAAAUGCGUAGAUAUGCGGAGGAACACCGAUGGCGAAGGCAAUCCCCUGGGCCUGUACUGACGCUCAUGCAUGAAAGCGUGGGGAGCAAACAGGAUUAGAUACCCCCGUAGUCCCUGUCUCUUAUAC